CGUGAAAACUGCUGUGAAAUGCUUUGUAGGCAGGGACGUAGCGAAGCAUCUGAAGUUGGGGUUGGGGGUGUCGGAAGAUUUUACCUGAAAUUUGAACUUCAAUCUUAAAAAUUUACCUGAAGUGUAAUAAUUAUAAUAGAGCUUUUCCUGAUUGAUUUCCACUGUCAUACUUAUAAGUCUCCGAAGAAUAGGGGGGUCCGGGGUCAGAAUAGUUUCACAGUUUUGAAGCUCCAGGACUAUAUUUCGGGCGUUUUCUAAAGCAAAUUCGCAAACGAAUUGGAUCUAAAUUGACUGUUUUUACAAAAAAAGGUUAUCAUUUCACAAAAAUAACGACUUUAUUACGCAAAC